rnacentral:tRNA from 1 species
GGAGGGUACAGCUCAGUGGUAAAGCGCAUGCUCGGCAAGCAUGAGGUCCUGGGUUCAAUCCCUGGGACCUCCA